UACGUAGGGUGCAAGCGUUAAUCGGAAUUACUGGGCGUAAAGCGUGCGCAGGCGGCUUUGCAAGACAGAUGUGAAAUCCCCGGGCUCAACCUGGGAACUGCAUUUGUGACUGCAUGGCUGGAGUGCGGCAGAGGGGGAUGGAAUUCCGCGUGUAGCAGUGAAAUGCGUAGAUAUGCGGAGGAACACCGAUGGCGAAGGCAGCCCCCUGGGGUAACACUGACGCUCAUGCACAAAAGCGUGGGGAGCAAACAGG
rnacentral:rRNA from 1 species